rnacentral:SRP_RNA from 1 species
AUCUCCCCAUAUCUCCCCCUAUCUCGAGGACGCAACGGUGUCCUCACUCAACCAUGACCGACACUAGGCGUACAUCCUCGACGGCGAGCGAGCCACCUGGCCUCACCUCGAGCUCAUCCGCUCUCUCACCGACAUCGAGUACACUCUCGACGCGGUGGCGG